rnacentral:lncRNA from 1 species
UAAUAUGCUUAUGAUUUAUAUAUGAUAGCUAAAACAAAUUUUGGCGUUAACACUUCAUACUGUUCUGCCAGGCACAGCAGCUCACGCCUGUAAUCCCAUCACUUUGGGAGGCUGAGGCAGAUGGACUGCUUGAGCCAGGAAUUUGAGACCAGCCUGGGCAACACAGCGAGACCUCCAUCUCUACAAAAAAAUAAUUAGCCCAAAGAAAACCCAGCUACUUGGAAGUCUGAGGUAGGACAGCAUGAGCCCAAGAGUUCGAGACCAGCCUGGGCAAGAUAGUGAGAUCCCAUCUCUACAGAUUAAAAAAAUAUAUAUAUAUAUCCCCUGAACCUCUGGUCUUUGGGUUUGAGCCAUUUGCCUCAUGGUGUGUUGCUUCUUCACUGCAUGAAUUCCCAGUGGGUUAAAGGAACCGCAAUGGCUGUUCACGGUGCUGACCUUGCUCUCAGUCCACACUGAUUUGUCUUACCUUCUGACAGAGCAAUGUGAUUUGACAAGACUCAAUAACAACUUUUAGGGGGCAAAAUAUUUUUUCAGUCUUUGGUGCUGGCCCAGAAGGUGGCCCACAAACCAAUGUUAAUUCUAUGCAUUGUCAAAUCUUUGCUCUU